rnacentral:rRNA from 1 species
UACAGAGGGUGCAAGCGUUGUUCGGAAUUAUUGGGCGUAAAGCGCGUGUAGGCGGCUUGGUAAGUCGGGUGUGAAAUCCCUCAGCUCAACUGAGGAAGUGCGCCCGAAACUGCUUUGCUUGAGUGCUGGAGAGGGUCGCGGAAUUCCCGAAGUAGAGGUGAAAUGCGUAGAUAUCUGGAGGAACACCGGUGGCGAAGGCGGCAUCCUGGACCGACACUGACGCUGAGGAGCGAAAGCCAGGGGAGCAAACGGG